rnacentral:rRNA from 1 species
CACUCCUGCGGGAGGCAGCAGUGGGGAAUAUUGCACAAUGGGCGCAAGCCUGAUGCAGCCAUGCCGCGUGUAUGAAGAAGGCCUUCGGGUUGUAAAGUACUUUCAGCGGGGAGGAAGGCGAUAAGGUUAAUAACCUUGUUGAUUGACGUUACCCGCAGAAGAAGCACCGGCUAACUCCGUGCCAGCAGCCGCGGUAAUACGGAGGGUGCAAGCGUUAAUCGGAAUUACUGGGCGUAAAGCGCACGCAGGCGGUCUGUCAAGUCGGAUGUGAAAUCCCCGGGCUCAACCUGGGAACUGCAUUCGAAACUGGCAGGCUAGAGUCUUGUAGAGGGGGGUAGAAUUCCAGGUGUAGCGGUGAAAUGCGUAGAGAUCUGGAGGAAUACCGGUGGCGAAGGCGGCCCCCUGGACAAAGACUGACGCUCAGGUGCGAAAGCGUGGGGAGCAAACAGGAUUAGAAACCCUAGUAGUCCCAUG